rnacentral:rRNA from 1 species
ACCAGGAUUAGAUACCCUGGUAGUCCAUGCCGUAAACGAUGUCUACUAGCCGUUGGGGCCUUUGAGGCUUUAGUGGCGCAGCUAACGCGAUAAGUAGACCGCCUGGGGAGUACGGUCGCAAGACUAAAACUCAAAUGAAUUGACGGGGGCCCGCACAAGCGGUGGAGCAUGUGGUUUAAUUCGAUGCAACGCGAAGAACCUUACCUGGUCUUGACAUAGUAAGAACUUUCCAGAGAUGGAUUGGUGCCUUCGGGAACUUACAUACAGGUGCUGCAUGGCCGUCGUCAGCUCGUGUCGUGAGAUGUUGGGUUAAGUCCCGCAACGAGCGCAACCCUUUUCCUUAUUUGCCAGCACUUCGGGUGGGAACUUUAAGGAUACUGCCAGUGACAAACUGGAGGAAGGCGGGGACGACGUCAAGUCAUCAUGGCCCUUACGACCAGGGCUACACACGUGCUACAAUGGUCGGUACAAAGGGUUGCUACCUAGCGAUAGGAUGCUAAUCUCAAAAAGCCGAUCGUAGUUCAGAUUGGAGUCUGCAACUCGACUCCAUGAAGUCGGAAUCGCUAGUAAUCGCGGAUCAGAAUGCCGCGGUGAAUACGUUCCCGGGCCUUGUACACACCGCCCGUCACACCAUGGGAGUUUGUUGCACCAGAAGUAGGUAGUCUAACCGUAAGGAGGACGCUUACCACGGUGUGGCCGAUGACUGGGGUGAAGUCGUAACAAGGUAACC